rnacentral:tRNA from 1 species
GUUUUUAUAAUUUAAGAAAAAUACUAGUCUUGUAAACUAAAAUUAAGCCAAGCUUUAAAAACA